GGGGAAUAUUGCACAAUGGGGGAAACCCUGAUGCAGCGACGCCGCGUGGAGGAAGAAGGUCUUCGGAUUGUAAACUCCUGUUGUUGAGGGAGAUAAUGACGGUACUCAACAAGGAAGUGACGGCUAACUACGUGCCAGCAGCCGCGGUAAAACGUAGGUCACAAGCGUUGUCCGGAAUUACUGGGUGUAAAGGGAGCGCAGGCGGGAGAACAAGUUGGAAGUGAAAUCCAUGGGCUCAACCCAAGAACUGCUUUCAGAACUGUUUUUCUUGAGUAGUGCAGAGGUAGGCGGAAUUCCCGGUGUAGCGGUGGAAUGCGUAGAUAUCGGUAGGAACACCAGUGGCGAAGGCGGCCUACUGGGCACCAACUGACGCUGAGGCUCGAAAGUGUGGGUAGCAAAC
rnacentral:rRNA from 1 species